UAGACUACUUCAACUACAGGUGUAUACUGUAUAGUAUAAAUAGGAAAGUGGAUUAGGAUGAAUUUGCAGAGAGUUUGAGCUUCAUAUAUACAAAACAUGGCAGAGAAUAAUUCCCUUCUUCUACUUGUAGCUUUAUUAGCUUUCUCUACUAUUUUCUCACUUAAUGCUGCUUCAGUUUCAAGUACAUAAUCUUGAUCACUUCUUUAUCUAAUUCUUUUAGUGGCUUGAGCUACUCAUAUCCAUUUUUUUUCAUUGAACUUCAUUGUUCUUGUACUACAGGGAAUACACGUCUGUUUUUGCAUGAAAAUCAAGAGCUUCCACCACCUGCAUAUACUAACCAGGUACUUCUCCUUGUAUAUAUUACAACAACGUAUCCAGUGUAAUCUCAUAAAUAGGUCAGAAAAAAAUAGUGUGUUCGCUGACCUUACCCUUACCUUAUUUGUGAGAGUAAGGUUAAUUCAUAGAUUUCUUGUUUCUAAUCUCAUUAAAUAACUAGGGUCCGGGGAGAGUUGUGUAUCCAGACUUUACCCCUGUCUUGUGAGAAUACGUAUAGGGCUACUUCAUAGAUUUCUUGUUUCUGAUCACAUUUUUUAAUAUGACUGAAAGCAGAUGAUGAAAUUCGAAGCUAUGGAGGAAGAGUUCAUCAAUGGCAGGAUGGAUUUAGAAAGUCAUGAUUACCCUGGCUCGGGAGCGAAUAAUCGUCACACUCCAAGGCCACCUAUUGAGACAUAAUAUAAUUAAGUAAUUAAUUAAAAGUACAUUUUCUCUAAUAGUUUAAUGAUGCUUUUCGCUCAAAUAUGAUGCAGCCUACUCAACAUUCUGUCUGUUGUACGAUGUUUAAUCUUAGUCAUUAUGAAAUAAAGAUCUGUGAUGAGUUAAUACAACCAUAAACUUGAU
rnacentral:lncRNA from 1 species